rnacentral:rRNA from 1 species
ACUCUGACGCAGCCAUGCCGCGUGCAGGAGAAGGCGCUACGCGUUGUAACUGCUUUUAUCCGGGAAGAACCCCAGGACGUGUCCUGGGUUGACGGUACCGGAGGAAUAAGCACCGGCUAACUUCGUGCCAGCAGCCGCGGUAAUACG